rnacentral:misc_RNA from 1 species
GAAAUGCGAUAAGUAGUGUGAAUUGCAGAAUUCAGUGAAUCAUCGAAUCUUUGAACGCACAUUGCGCCCUUUGGCAUUCCUUAGGGCAUGCCUGUUCGAGCGUCAUCUAAACCUUCAAGCCCUGCUUGGUGUUGGGUGCCUGUCCCGCCUCCGCGCGCGGACUCACCUCAAAUCCAUUGGCGGCCCCCGCGUCGGCCACGAGCGCAGCAGAAACGCGAACUCGUGAGCCCGUCCGGGCGGCUCCCAGAAGCUACACCCACCCAGUUUGACCUCGGAUCAGGUAGGGAUACCCGCUGAACUUAAGC